UGACGUCACCCAUUGGUUUCUGCAGAGUGAGAAUGAGGCUAGUAGGAGGCGUUCCCCCAGCGCCAUCUUGCCGGUGCUUACUCCUCCUCGUUCCUGGCUAACGAAUCAAUGGGCAAGGAGGAGGAGCGCGAGUGAAGACUGACAGCCGAGCGAUGCUCGCGGAGCUCAGCGUUUCCAGGUUAGCUCAGGGCUAAGGAGCUAGGCUACAUGCUACCCGACGCUGCUAACCGGUUAGCGCUGUGCUGUAGCUGGUCCGGCUGGUCGCGAUCUUUACGAACUCACUAGAGAUGAAGCACUGCAGCACCGGAUCUGUCCUCAGCAGCAACAUGGUGGAGAUCGGCAGCUUCAGGCUGGUCAACACGAGGACGACCUGCACAAGCUUCAACGGCCCAACACUUCACGUUUUCUCCCUCAACUAAAGAUGGCCUGCAACUGUUUAGAGUUGGCAAUCAUUGCUAUGUGUCAUGGAUAAUAGAUUUAAUUUCUAUCUUCAUUAUGGUUGGUUAAAAAAAUGAUUAUCUUUUACAAUCUGAUUUGAUACACUUUAGAUAAAAACCCAGUGCUUUAUUUUUCUAAUUCCCCAUAAGAGACACAACACCGUCAGCACAGCUGAGUCCUUCAGGCUAGAAAUGUACAGUACACAGUUCAUGCUAAAAUUGUAGUUGCCAUGUAACAAUCAAGUUGCUUGAUAACUCAGAAGUUAUUAAAACAUUUCUGUGUACCCUUUU